CUUGCUAUAAUUGUCAGCUAAGUGGCGCACGGGUGAGUAAUGUAUAGAUAACCUGCCCUUAAGAAAGGAAUAACAGUUGGAAACGACUGCUAAUGCCCUAUAUGCCUUUAAUACAUAAGUAUGCAAGGGAAACGCUUUAGUGCUUAAGGAUGGGUCUGUAUGGUAUCAGCUUGUUGGUGAGGUAAUGGCUCACCAAGGCUAUGACGCCUAACUGGUUUGAGAGGAUGAUCAGUCACACUGGAACUGAGACACGGUCCAGACUCCUACGGGAGGCAGCAGUGGGGAAUAUUGCACAAUGGACGAAAGUCUGAUGCAGCAACGCCGCGUGGAGGAUGACACAUUUCGGUGCGUAAACUCCCUUUAUAUAGGAAGAUAAUGACGGUACUAUAUGAAUAAGCACCGGCUAACUCCGUGCCAGCAGCCGCGGUAAUACGGAGGGUGCAAGCGUUACUCGGAAUCACUGGGCGUAAAGAGCGUGUAGGCGGGUAUAUAAGUCAGAAGUGAAAUCCAAUAGCUCAACUAUUGAACUGCUUUUGAAACUGUAUACCUAGAAUGUGGGAGAGGUAGAUGGAAUUUCUGGUGUAGGGGUAAAAUCCGUAGAGAUCAGAAGGAAUACCGAUUGCGAAGGCGAUCUACUGGAACAUUAUUGACGCUGAGACGCGAAAGCGUGGGGAGCAAACAGGAUUAGAUACCCUGGUAGUCCACGCCCUAAACGAUGUACACUAGUUGUUGUGAGGCUCGACCUUGCAGUAAUGCAGUUAACACAUUAAGUGUACCGCCUGGGGAGUACGGUCGCAAGAU
rnacentral:rRNA from 1 species